rnacentral:rRNA from 1 species
UACGUAGGGUGCGAGCGUUAAUCGGAAUUACUGGGCGUAAAGCGUGCGCAGGCGGUUCGUUGUGUCGGCGGUGAAAUCCCCGGGCUCAACCUGGGAAUGGCCGUUGAAACUGGCGAACUGGAGUGUGGCAGAGGGGGGUGGAAUUCCGCGUGUAGCAGUGAAAUGCGUAGAGAUCUGGAAGAACACCAAAGGCGAAGGCAGCAUCCUGGGAAGUUCCUGACGCUCGGGUGCGAAAGCCAGGGGAGCGAACGGG